GGGUUGUGAGGUUAAGUGACUAAGCGUACACGGUGGAUGCCUAGGCAGUCAGAGGCGAUGAAGGGCGUGCUAAUCUGCGAAAAGCGUCGGUAAGGUGAUAUGAACCGUUAUAACCGGCGAUACCCGAAUGGGGAAACCCAGUGUGUUUCGACACACUAUCAUGUCAUGAAUACAUAGUGGCAUGAGGCGAACCGGGGGAACUGAAACAUCUAAGUACCCCGAGGAAAAGAAAUCAACCGAGAUUCCCCCAGUAGCGGCGAGCGAACGGGGAGGAGCCCAGAACCUGAAUCGGCUUGUGUGUUAGUGGAAGCGUCUGGAAAGUCGCGCAGCAAAGGGUGAUAGCCCCGUACACUAAAAUGCACAGGUCGUGAGUUCGAUGAGUAGGGCGGGACACGUGACAUCCUGUCUGAAUAUGGGGGGACCAUCCUCCAAGGCUAAAUACUCCUGACUGACCGAUAGUGAACCAGUACCGUGAGGGAAAGGCGAAAAGAACCCCGGCGAGGGGAGUGAAAUAGAACCUGAAACCGUGUACGUACAAGCAGUGGGAGCACCUUCGUGGUGUGACUGCGUACCUUUUGUAUAAUGGGUCAGCGACUUAUAUUUUGUAGCAAGGUUAACCGUAUAGGGGAGCCGUAGGGAAACCGAGUCUUAACUGGGCGACUAGUUGCAAGGUAUAGACCCGAAACCCGGUGAUCUAGCCAUGGGCAGGUUGAAGGUUGGGUAACACUAACUGGAGGACCGAACCGACUAAUGUUGAAAAAUUAGCGGAUGACUUGUGGCUGGGGGUGAAAGGCCAAUCAAACCGGGAGAUAGCUGGUUCUCCCCGAAAGCUAUUUAGGUAGCGCCUCGUGAACUCAUCUUCGGGGGUAGAGCACUGUUUCGGCUAGGGGGCCAUCCCGGCUUACCAAACCGAUGCAAACUCCGAAUACCGAAGAAUGUUAUCACGGGAGACACACGGCGGGUGCUAACGUCCGUCGUGAAGAGGGAAACAACCCAGACCGCCAGCUAAGGUCCCAAAGUCAUGGUUAAGUGGGAAACGAUGUGGGAAGGCAUAGACAGCCAGGAUGUUGGCUUAGAAGCAGCCAUCAUUUAAAGAAAGCGUAAUAGCUCACUGGUCGAGUCGGCCUGCGCGGAAGAUGUAACGGGGCUAAACCAUGCACCGAAGCUGCGGCAGCGACGCUUAGGCGUUGUUGGGUAGGGGAGCGUUCUGUAAGCCGUUGAAGGUGGCCUGUGAGGGUUGCUGGAGGUAUCAGAAGUGCGAAUGCUGACAUAAGUAACGAUAAAGCGGGUGAAAAGCCCGCUCGCCGGAAGACCAAGGGUUCCUGUCCAACGUUAAUCGGGGCAGGGUGAGUCGACCCCUAAGGCGAGGCUGAAAAGCGUAGUCGAUGGGAAACAGGUUAAUAUUCCUGUACUUGGUGUUACUGCGAAGGGGGGACGGAGAAGGCUAGGCUGGCCGGGCGACGGUUGUCCCGGUUUAAGCGUGUAGGGGGUGUGACCUGGUAAAUCCGGUUGCAUAUCAACCCUGAGGCGUGAUGACGAUGCACUACGGUGCAGAAGUAGUUGAUGCCCUGCUUCCAGGAAAAUCCUCUAAGCUCCAGGUAACAUUAAAUCGUACCCCAAACCGACACAGGUGGUCAGGUAGAGAAUACCAAGGCGCUUGAGAGAACUCGGGUGAAGGAACUAGGCAAAAUGGUGCCGUAACUUCGGGAGAAGGCACGCUGGCAUGUAGGUGAAGUCCCUUGCGGAUGGAGCUGAAGCCAGUCGAAGAUACCAGCUGGCUGCAACUGUUUAAUAAAAACACAGCACUGUGCAAACACGAAAGUGGACGUAUACGGUGUGACGCCUGCCCGGUGCUGGAAGGUUAAUUGAUGGGGUCAGCCGCAAGGCGAAGCUCUUGAUCGAAGCCCCAGUAAACGGCGGCCGUAACUAUAACGGUCCUAAGGUAGCGAAAUUCCUUGUCGGGUAAGUUCCGACCUGCACGAAUGGCGUAAUGAUGGCCAGGCUGUCUCCACCCGAGACUCAGUGAAAUUGAACUCGCUGUGAAGAUGCAGUGUACCCGCGGCAAGACGGAAAGACCCCGUGAACCUUUACUAUAGCUUGACACUGAACAUUGAGCCUUGAUGUGUAGGAUAGGUGGGAGGCUUUGAAGCGUGGACGCCAGUCUGCGUGGAGCCAUCCUUGAAAUACCACCCUUUAAUGUUUGAUGUUCUAACUCGGCCCCAUAAUCUGGGGUGAGGACAGUGUCUGGUGGGUAGUUUGACUGGGGCGGUCUCCUCCCAAAGAGUAACGGAGGAGCACGAAGGUUAGCUAAUCACGGUCGGACAUCGUGAGGUUAGUGCAAAGGCAUAAGCUAGCUUGACUGCGAGAGUGACGGCUCGAGCAGGUACGAAAGUAGGUCUUAGUGAUCCGGUGGUUCUGAAUGGAAGGGCCAUCGCUCAACGGAUAAAAGGUACUCCGGGGAUAACAGGCUGAUACCGCCCAAGAGUUCAUAUCGACGGCGGUGUUUGGCACCUCGAUGUCGGCUCAUCACAUCCUGGGGCUGAAGUAGGUCCCAAGGGUAUGGCUGUUCGCCAUUUAAAGUGGUACGCGAGCUGGGUUUAGAACGUCGUGAGACAGUUCGGUCCCUAUCUGCCGUGGGCGUUGGAAGAUUGAGAGGGGUUGCUCCUAGUACGAGAGGACCGGAGUGAACGCACCACUGGUGUUCGGGUUGUCAUGCCAAUGGCAUUGCCCGGUAGCUAAGUGCGGAAAAGAUAAGCGCUGAAAGCAUCUAAGCGCGAAACUUGCCUCAAGAUGAGUCUUCCCUGGGCCUUCAAGGCCCCUGAAGGAACGUUUAAGACUAAGACGUUGAUAGGCUGGGUGUGUAAGUGCAGCGAUGCAUUGAGCUAACCAGUACUAAUGAUCCGUGAGGCUUAACCUUACAACACCGAAGGUGUUU
rnacentral:rRNA from 1 species